rnacentral:sRNA from 1 species
AUUAAUUCCGCGUGAGGGAUAGUAGUGGAAAUCCUUUUUAUUAAUAAAUCCCGACAGGGUUUGUUGAUAAAAAGAUUGAAACGAAUAGCCCGACCCGAC